rnacentral:tRNA from 1 species
GUCCCCUUCGUCUAGUGGCCCAGGACGCCGGCCUCUCACGCCGGAAACAGGGGUUCGACUCCCCUAGGGGACGCCA